rnacentral:rRNA from 1 species
AGUGCCAUUCUUAACGGGAUGGCUUUUCAUUAGUGUAAAGAGCUUUUGGAAUAAGAGCUGGGCAAGACCGGUGCCAGCCGCCGCGGUAACACCGGCAGCUCUAGUGGUAACAAUUUUUAUUGGGCCUAAAGCGUCCGUAGCCGGUUUAAUAAGUCUCUGGUGAAAUCCUGUAGCUUAACUGUGGGAAUUGCUGGAGAUACUAUUAGACUUGAGACCGGGAGAGGUUAGAGGUACUCCCAGGGUAGAGGUGAAAUUCUGUAAUCCUGGGAGGACCGCCUGUUGCGAAGGCGUCUAACUGGAACGGUUCUGACGGUGAGGGACGAAAGUUAGGGGCGCGAACCGGAUUAGAUACCCGGGUAGUCCUAACUGUAGACGAUGCGGACUUGGUGUUGGGGUGGCUUUGAGCUGCUCCAGUG